UACGAAGGGGCUAGCGUUGCUCGGAAUCACUGGGCGUAAAGCGCACGUAGGCGGAUUGUUAAGUCAGGGGUGAAAUCCUGGAGCUCAACUCCAGAACUGCCUUUGAUACUGGCGAUCUUGAGUCCGGGGAGAGGUGAGUGGAACUGCGAGUGUAGAGGUGAAAUUCGUAGAUAUUCGCAAGAACACCGGUGGCGAAGGCGGCUCACUGGCCCGAGUACUGACGCUGAGGCACGAAAGCGUGGG
rnacentral:rRNA from 1 species